UUUCAUGUGCUCAGAGAGAAGAGUCUUUAUUUUUCAGAUGGGAGUGACAUCGAGAGUCAUUUGGCAGCCCAGUAGGACACUAAAUGACUUGGUGCUGCUGUGAAGGAAGAAAGGAAGACACACAUUGAAAACCAACUUCAGGUGUGAUGCCGGGUGUCCUUUGCCAGUUCAUGCUAAAGGCUAGAAACUGUUAGAAUAACAAAUACCUCAAGGGAGUGCUAGGAAUGAGCCUGAUCCACAAAACGCAUACUGCCCAAGCAUAAAGGCCUGAGUUCAAGUCCCAGAGCCAUGGAAAAAAGCCGACUGUGAGCUGGGUGUGUGUUAAUUCUUUAAUUCUAGCACUCAGAAGGCAGAAGCAGGCGGCUCUCCAUGAGUUCUAGACCAGCCUGGUCUACAGAGUGAGGCCUGGUCUACAGAGUGAGUACAGGACAGGCAGGGCAUAGAGAAACCAUGUCUCAAACAAACAAACAAACAAACAUACAAACAAACAAACAAACAAACAAACAAAAAACAAAAAAAAGACAAAAGACAAAAAACAAAAACAAAACCGAAACCAAACCAAACCAAAAAUGGUGUGCUUAUAAUCUCAGCACUGGGGAAACAGAGACAGGGAUUUGCUGGCCAAAACUGGCUAAGUGAGACCUUCAGGUGGCAUGUCAGUGAGAUAUUGUCUCAUCUAAAAACAAAGAAGAAACAAGGGGCUGGUGAGAUGGCUCAGUGGGUCAAGUUGCCUGCUGCCAAGCCUGACCACCCGAGUUCGAUCCCUGGGUCCUACUUGGGGGAGAAGAGAGGCAACUCUCUAGAGCUGUCCCUUUCCUCCACAGGGAGGCCCAGUGUGGGCCGCCACACAGACAACCUGCAUACGAAAUAGAUGAAUGAAAAUGUAGUAAAUUGUAAAACAAAACCAAGGUGGAGAACUCCUGAAGAACACACAUGCAUGCGAGUACACACACACACACACACACACACACACACACCCCUAAAACUCUCACAGUGGAGAAAAGGGAAACUUGCAUGAGAACACAGUAAACGCCAGCCUUUGUAGAGGAGAGUGGUAAAUGUUACUGAACUAUUAAACAUCUUUGAAAGACUUAUUUUUAUUUUAUGUGUAUGAGUGUGAGCCUGAAUGUCUGUUUGUCUGUCUGUAUGCCAUGUGUGUGCAGAGCCUUUGAGGCUGGAAAAGGGCGUUGGAUCACCUGGAAUUAGAGUUACAGGUGGUUGUGAGUCACCAUGUCAGUCUUGGAAACCCAGGUUCUCUGUAAGGGCAGCCAGUGCUCUUAACCACUGAGCUAUCUCUCUAGUCCCAACCAUCAAAAUUUUAAGUAUGUCUUAAUCCCAACACAAAUUGUGUAGGACAGAGAUGGAGAAAAUUUAAUAAGAAACCAGCUUUGGCAAGGUGUGGUGUUGCAGGCCUUUAAUUGGGUGUUGUACUACUUGGGAGGCUGAGGCAGGCAGAUCUCUGUGAAAUUGGGGUUAGCCUGGUCUACAUAAUGAGUUCCAGGCCAGCCAGGGCUGUAUAGUGAGAUCCUAGCUCAAAAAAUACAAAGCCAUAAAGAAAGAAAGAGGAAGAAACUCAGCAUCUGACUUCCAGGAAGGCACUGCGCACAGAGCACAUUGCCUGUUUCCUACUAAAAACCUUUCCUCACCCUACGUUAGAGCUACGUGCCCUGGGUGCAGCUGGAGCCACCGCUACCAAUUGUGUGAGGAAUUAUGGGAGCACUGUCUCACCUAUGCUUUAGCAGCCUUUCAAAGUAGUAGCCACAUUUGGAUGGGCUGGAGAGAUGGCUCAGCAGUUAAGAGCAUUGACUGCUCUUCUAGAGGUCCUGAGUUCAAUUCCCAGCAACCACAUGGUGGCUCACAACCAUCUAAUAGCAUCCAAUGCCCUUGUCUGAAGACAGCUAUAGAAUACUUAUAUAUGUAAAAUAAAAAAAUCUUUAAGG
rnacentral:lncRNA from 1 species